rnacentral:misc_RNA from 1 species
CUCACUGAAGUAGAGAGAA